AUACGAAAGGUGCAAGCGUUGUUCGGAUUUACUGGGCGUAAAGAGAGUGUAGGUGGUUUAUUAAGUCGGAUGAGAAAUCCCGGGGCUCAACCUCGGAACUGCAUUCGAUACUGAUAGGCUAGAGUUUGGGAGGGGUAAGCGGAAUUCCGUGUGUAGCAGUGAAAUGCGUAGAUAUACGGAGGAACACCUGAGGCGAAGGCGGCUUACUGGACCAAUACUGACACUGAGACUCGAAAGCGUGGGUAGCAAACAGGAUUAGAAACCCUAGUAGUCC
rnacentral:rRNA from 1 species